UUUUCCUGUGAUUCGUUGCAGUUUCAUUCCUAGGACCGUUGCCAGGUAGUUGUUGGGAGGAGAUGUGUCUACUGUCCAAUCUGUGGUUGCUUCAAUCGAUGAAGCUCGCGCGGACUGCGAAGACCUGAUUUCCACUGAUCCCACAUUUGUUCACUGUGAUGGAGAGCAGCGCAGUUUCGGCCAGCGCGUUGAAGACACAAUGUUGGUAGAAGAGGGGGCUGGUUCAUACGGCGUUGCCAGCAAGGUUGUUGCCGAUUGAUAUGAUCUGGCUCAUUAGGAUGUCAACGAUACACCGAUCAGAGAAGAUGGACAUGCAGAGGGCGUGGUCUCCAACUUAAAAGGCUCCUGCUGGUCUCGAAGGUGAUGAUCCAGCUUGGGCUGCAAGAGGUUCCUCCAAAAUAGAUACUGAAAAGAUGACCAGGGAUGCAAGGUAUAUACUACCAGCAGAGUUUCUGUGGUACCAGAAAGACCAAGGACCUCUCAAGUACUCAUCACGGCAGCAUAACAACCUUCAUUUGUUGUGCCUGGAAAUUGUGAAAUUAGGCAACAGCAAUGUGGAUGCAUAUACUCUUGCUAUGGAGCAAGUGAGAAAUGUGAAAACAAUACAGAAGCCUAUUGCUGCUAUACGUGAUGGAUCAGAGUUAGGGCAUAAACAACAUUUUGGUCGGGCAAAUCCAGCAUAGAGUGCCUCGCAAUGUUCUGAUAGUUUUGCAGCACCAUCAAAGAUAAGGACAGCUCGACGCCCUAGCACAAGUCGUGACAAAGCACCAUAUGGGCAACCAGCUAAUAGGUCUAGGUUCUGUUCUAUAUGCAGAGGUCACAAGAGUACCACUUGUCCGCAACGAGGGGAUCUUCCAAAGGCGCCGAGGAAGUCGCCUCGAUGCUCCUGAUGCAGAUUAUGAGCUCAUAGGAAGAACACUUGCACCACCGCCCCAGCCAGACUUUCGAGACUGAUUUUGUAACAGCUUGUGUCUGAAAGUUCACUUUGUUCACUUGGCAAAAUCUACAUUUAUCGAGUUUGCACUAUAAUGCAGCUAUGGGUGUGAUUUGUUUUGCUUUUUGUGACGCUGUUGCCGAGUCCUUGGUUAACUGAUAUAAUACGCUAAAAUUAUGGUGUUGAUGUGAGUAGGUGAUGUUUAGUUUAACUUUUUCAGUUUGGAAA